rnacentral:lncRNA from 1 species
GACAGGGUCAAAAGACAAGAGGCCCGAGGCGCUCCCGCCGUGAUUUGCAGCCAGAUACCGUUGGGAGCGCAGCCAGAGAGCGUUGGGAGCGUGCGUACCUCCAGCCCAACAUGGCGGCGGCAGCGGCCGCCCCCGACCCCAAGCCCUCCCUCAGGGCCCGAGGCUUCUCCUCAGGGCCUUCCGGUGGGCGGGAAGACAGCGCAACCCCGCCAGGCCUUUCUCGUCGCUGCGCCUGCUCGCUGAAGGAGUCACCUACCCGACGAGACUAACGGCUGCGGCGCGGAAGCCCCACAGCCCGCCGAGAACCAGGAAUACGAGAGCCAGGCGGCGCGGCGGCGGGACCUGUACUGAGCAAGAAAGAAGAUUUCAAAGUAAUUUAUUGUUAUGAGAUCCGUGCUUUUAUCUUGUCUCAGACUCCCAAUGAUAGGCACAUACUCUCCUCUGUACAUUUAAUGAAACUACUAAAAUAUUUCGAUUUAAAUCUUCCACCUAUUUGUUUUCUGUGUAUCCUACCUGUUCCCGACCUUGACAUUUUCAAAGAAUACAGGUUACUUAUUUUGUUUUUUGGUGGUGGUGAGUUUUUUUGGGGUUUUGUUUUUUGGUUUUUGGUUUUAUUUUUGGAGACAGGGCUUUGCUGUAUCGCCCAGGCUGGAAUACAGUGGCGCGAUGAUAGCUCACUGCAGCCUCGAACUCCUGGGCUCAAGGGACCCUCCUGCUUCAGCCUCCCGAGUAGCUGGGACUACAGGCCUGCGCCACCACGCCCGGGUAAUUUUUUAUUUUUUGUAGAGAUGGGGUGUUCUAUGUUGCCCAGUGUGGUCUCAAACUCUUGGGCUCAAGAGAUCCUCCCACUUCUGCUGCCCAAAGUGCUAGGAUUACAGGCAUGAGCCACCGCGCCGGGACAGUUAUUUUGUAGAGUGUUCUUUAAUUUGGAUGUACCUCAUCUUUUAUGUAUCUUUGGGAGGAAUACCACAUAACUCAUGUGGUUUAUCCCAUCGAGAGACACACAGUGUCAAUGUGUUCCAUUCUUGGUGAUGUUAACUUUUAUUACUUAGUGAAAAUAAUUCUAAGAGAUUUCACCACUGUAGAGUGAAUAAAUGAAUAUGUGGGAUUCAUCAAUGAAUAAGUAAAAGGAUGCCAACUGGCAAAAGAACUGAGUUGGGAGGAUGGCUUGAGCCUGGGAGGUCGAGGCUGCAGUGAGCCGUGAUGGCACCACUGCCCUCCAGCCUGGGUGACAAAGCAAGACCCCGUCUCAGAAAAAAUUAAAUAAAUAAAUAAAUACCCAGCACCUG